UACGAAGGGGGCUAGCGUUGCUCGGAAUCACUGGGCGUAAAGCGCACGUAGGCGGAUUGUUAAGUCAGGGGUGAAAUCCUGGAGCUCAACUCCAGAACUGCCUUUGAUACUGGCGAUCUUGAGUCCGGGAGAGGUGAGUGGAACUGCGAGUGUAGAGGUGAAAUUCGUAGAUAUUCGCAAGAACACCAGUGGCGAAGGCGGCUCACUGGCCCGGUACUGACGCUGAGGUGCGAAAGCG
rnacentral:rRNA from 1 species